rnacentral:misc_RNA from 1 species
UCUCCGUAGGUGAACCUGCGGAGGGAUCAUUACAGAGUUCUCGCCCUCACGGGUAGAUCUCCCACCCACUGUUAUCAUUACUGUCGUUUCUUUGGCGGGCCGCCGGGUCCCCGGCCGCCGGCGCCUAGCUGCCGGCGCGCGCCCGCCAGAGGCCUUCAAACUCUGAAUGUUAGUGUCGUCUGAGUACUAUAUAAUAGUUAAAACUUUCAACAACGGAUCUCUUGGUUCUG